UACGGGGGGUGCGAGCGUUGUCCGGAAUCACUGGGCGUAAAGGGCGCGUAGGUGGUUUGAUAAGGGUGUGGUGAAAGCCCGGGGCUCAACCCCGGGUCUGCCGUGCCGACUGUCAAACUCGAGGGCUGUAGAGGCAGACGGAAUUCCGGGUGUAGCGGUGGAAUGCGUAGAGAUCCGGAGGAAGACCGGUGGCGAAGGCGGCCUGCUGGGCAGUUACUGACACUGAGGCGCGACAGCGUGGGGAGCAAACAGG
rnacentral:rRNA from 1 species